GUUACCCUGCUGUGAACGCUUAACUGAAUAAGUUUUGACCCAACACUUUUUUAAAAAAGGAAAUCGACCUCCGGGUGUGAAAUGCAAGCCUGGGGUUUCCUGAUAAGGUUACCUAAGAUUAACAGAAAUGUUAAUUGACCGGAAGCAUAAAGCAUUCGGGUAGAUAUCCACCUGUUUGAGGUUCGGUAUCAAAACUUGAAGUUAGCGACAUGGCGGGGUUAUU
rnacentral:other from 1 species